GGGGCGGGGUUACCCACUCAUCUGUUCCAACUGCCUUCCCAGAUCUCCCUUCUCCCUCCUUUUAUGGGGUGAGGGUCCAGGGGCCUGCUCAGCACCAGCCUGUGCUCCUGGGAAUUUCUGCUUUCUGAGGUCCCUUCUCGCUCCUUUACCCAUUUGGGUGUUGGAGGCGGAGCCGCCAGCUGGGUUCGGAGCCCCACCCCCGGCUUCCAUCCAAUCACCGUCCCUCCCUCCGGGGGCUGGGCGGACGGGCUGCACUCCAAGCAGCUAGCUCCCGCACUAGGCUCUCAGCCAGGGACGAUGCGCCGCUGCCACUGCCGCUGCUGCCGCCGCCGCUGCUGCUGGCAACCACCCCGUGCCCUGAGGCCGUUGCUGUUGCUGCCCCUCGUCCUUGUACCUCCCCUGGCAGCAGCUGCAGUGGGCCCAAACCGCUGUGACACCAUAUACCAGGGCUUCGCCGAGUGUCUCAUCCGCUUGGGGGACGGCAUGGGCCGCGGAGGCGAGCUGGAGACCAUCUGCAGAUCUUGGAAUGACUUCCAUGCCUGUGCCUCUCGGGUCCUGUUGGGCUGUCCGGAGGAGGCAGCUGCAGUGUGGGAAUCACUACAGCAAGAAGCUCGCCGGGCCCCCCAUCCGAAUAACUUGCACACUCUGUGCAGCGCCCCAGUGCAUGUUCGGGAGCGCGGUACAGGCUCCGAAACCAACCAGGAGACACUGCCAGCUGCAGCACCUGCACUCCCCAUGGCCCCUGCGCCCCCACUGCUGGCGGCUGCUCUGGCUCUGACCUACCUCCUGGGGCCUCUGGCCUAGCCUAUCAGGUCAGGUGGCAGUGCCUAUGCCUCCAGCCCUGCCCUGGCGGUGGUUGUCCAGGCUCUGCAGAGCGCAGCAGGGCUUUUCAUUAAAGGUCCCAAGAGCUCCUCCAGUGGAGACCAGAGAUCUGCCGGAAUGCACAGUCUUCCUCUACUUUCCUGUGCUGGCUUGGGGUCGGGAGGGCGGGGUCUCAGCCCUGCACUCCUAGCACUGCCUACCCCUUCUAUCCCUGCCCCUGGGGGCCAGGUGAGCUGGUGAGGUGCCCUUGAUCUCAGCUCCACUCCCUCCCCAGCCUCUGGGCUCCUGACCAUUUCACCUCCUCCUCUCUCUGCCUGUCACCUCAGCCUUCAAGGCACAGCACAGACUGUGUGCUCAGUCCCUUCCUCUGGCUUUCGCGUCUGUCUGAAGGAGGCCUGUUCUAGAAGGUGGGGAGCCUCUGUUGAAGUCCACAUUCAAGCCCCUGAUACGA